UCUACGUUAAGGGAAUCGGACAGAGUUAGGAGAUCAAACCGGGAAGGCACAAAAAGGGAACACACUCUGAAAAACUCUCAAACAACAGGUUAGGAGAGGGUGUCGGAUCACCUGGAAGUCUUUCCAUGAUGACCAAUGACAGGGUUGUGAACUGAAGGUGAAGUGUAGAACAUGACGUACACAAGUGCCUACUGUGUGGUGCCAACUCUAGACAAGAACACACAACAGCCUGGGUGAGCUACACCAGGACACACAGGACAGUCACAGUGUCAGCUACACAUGCCUCCUCCUCCGUCCUGGGCAACAUGCUGCAGGAUAUGGUCCAGGGGAGAUUGUGGAAGUCAUUACAUUGCAAAAUACACAAUUCUACUUUCAUUUUGUUUCAUGCAAAAAUAGUUUGAAAAAGUUCUUAAAGUUUAACGUAGAUUUCAAAUUGAGUAUUUUGGGAUUGGAAUUGUUAUGGGUAGCAUAUCCAGAGCAGCAGCUGCAACAUCCUCUAAACACUGAUAACAUGUGUGGACAUUGUUCAUUUCCUGUUUCAUACAUAUCAUUCUUGGAUCAGGAUUGGAAAUUGUUAUGGACAUAUUAACAGUCAUUAUGUUUGACAUGUUGUACGACAAUAAUAAAAUGUUAUCUACAGCCAGGAUACAUGGUUCAUGCGUAUUGUGUAUAAAUUGUUACAUGUGUGUUCAUUUGAAG